CUACAUCUCAGUGAAAUCUGAACCCAGUUCUAACAUUUCAAAAGAAAUUUAUUUUUAGCCAAAAAUCGAAAUGAAAAGUGAACAAUUUUUCCUUUCUUUACUUUUAAUUGCAUUUUUCUUUAUUUUUUUUCUUUUGAAGAAUGCGGACAUGAGAGAAAGAGAUUAAAAAGCCUCAAAGAAAAUCCAUCAAAACCCUUGUUCUCUUCUUUUGCCCGUUUUACUCGAUGGCUCCGUGUGCGUUUCAACAAAAUGAAGAUGGAGAGGGAGUGAGAUUUCUCUGGUGUGGGUAUUGAAGAAUGCUGAAGAACGCGAAAGGGGUAAGCCUCU
rnacentral:lncRNA from 1 species